UACGAAGGGGGCUAGCGUUGCUCGGAUUGACUGGGCGUAAAGGGCGCGUAGGCGGAUAGUACAGUCAGGCGUGAAAUUCCUGGGCUCAACCUGGGGGCUGCGUUUGAUACGUAUUGUCUGGAGUUCGGAAGAGGGUCGUGGAAUUCCCAGUGUAGAGGUGAAAUUCGUAGAUAUUGGGAAGAACACCGGUGGCGAAGGCGGCGACCUGGUCCGAUACUGACGCUGAGGCGCGAAGGCGUGGGGAGCGAACGGG
rnacentral:rRNA from 1 species